rnacentral:rRNA from 3 species
UUAAGCGACUAAGCGUACACGGUGGAUGCCCUGGCAGUCAGAGGCGAUGAAGGACGUGCUAAUCUGCGAAAAGCGCCGGCGAGGUGAUAUGAACCCUUGACCCGGCGAUGUCCGAAUGGGGAAACCCAGUGUGUUCCGACACACUAUCGUUAACUGAAUACAUAGGUUAACGAGGCGAACCGGGGGAACUGAAACAUCUAAGUACCCCGAGGAAAAGAAAUCAACCGAGAUUCCCCCAGUAGCGGCGAGCGAACGGGGAGCAGCCCGGAGUCUGAAUCAGCUUGUGUGUUAGUGGAACGGUCUGGAAAGUCCGACGGUACAGGGUGAUAGUCCCGUACACGAAAAUGCACAUGCUGUGAACUCGAAGAGUAGGGCGGGACACGUGGUAUCCUGUCUGAAUAUGGGGGGACCAUCCUCCAAGGCUAAAUACUCCUGACUGACCGAUAGUGAACCAGUACCGUGAGGGAAAGGCGAAAAGAACCCCGGCGAGGGGAGUGAAAAAGAACCUGAAACCGUGUACGUACAAGCAGUGGGAGCACCUUCGGGUGUGACUGCGUACCUUUUGUAUAAUGGGUCAGCGACUUAUAUUCUGUAGCAAGGUUAACCGUAUAGGGGAGCCGAAGGGAAACCGAGUCUUAACUGGGCGUUAAGUUGCAGGGUAUAGACCCGAAACCCGGUGAUCUAGCCAUGGGCAGGUUGAAGGUUGGGUAACACUAACUGGAGGACCGAACCGACUAAUGUUGAAAAAUUAGCGGAUGACCUGUGGCUGGGGGUGAAAGGCCAAUCAAACCGGGAGAUAGCUGGUUCUCCCCGAAAGCUAUUUAGGUAGCGCCUCGUGAACUCAUCUUCGGGGGUAGAGCACUGUUUCGGCUAGGGGGCCAUCCCGGCUUACCAACCCGAUGCAAACUACGAAUACCGAAGAAUGUUAUCACGGGAGACACACGGCGGGUGCUAACGUCCGUCGUGAAGAGGGAAACAACCCAGACCGCCAGCUAAGGUCCCAAAGUCAUGGUUAAGUGGGAAACGAUGUGGGAAGGCACAGACAGCCAGGAUGUUGGCUUAGAAGCAGCCAUCAUUUAAAGAAAGCGUAAUAGCUCACUGGUCGAGUCGGCCUGCGCGGAAGAUGUAACGGGGCUAAACCAUGCACCGAAGCUGCGGCAGCGACGCUUAUGCGUUGUUGGGUAGGGGAGCGUUCUGUAAGCCGUUGAAGGUGUGCUGUGAGGCAUGCUGGAGGUAUCAGAAGUGCGAAUGCUGACAUAAGUAACGAUAAAGCGGGUGAAAAGCCCGCUCGCCGGAAGACCAAGGGUUCCUGUCCAACGUUAAUCGGGGCAGGGUGAGUCGACCCCUAAGGCGAGGCCGAAAGGCGUAGUCGAUGGGAAACAGGUUAAUAUUCCUGUACUUGGUGUUACUGCGAAGGGGGGACGGAGAAGGCUAUGUCAGCCGGGCGACGGUUGUCCCGGUUUAAGCAUGUAGGCGGAGGUUCCAGGUAAAUCCGGUACCUUAUUAACGCUGAGGUGUGAUGACGAGGCACUACGGUGCUGAAGUGAUAAAUGCCCUGCUUCCAGGAAAAGCCUCUAAGCAUCAGGUAACACGAAAUCGUACCCCAAACCGACACAGGUGGUCAGGUAGAGAAUACCAAGGCGCUUGAGAGAACUCGGGUGAAGGAACUAGGCAAAAUGGUGCCGUAACUUCGGGAGAAGGCACGCUGAUAUGUAGGUGAAGCCCCUGCGGGCGGAGCUGAAAUCAGUCGAAGAUACCAGCUGGCUGCAACUGUUUAUUAAAAACACAGCACUGUGCAAACACGAAAGUGGACGUAUACGGUGUGACGCCUGCCCGGUGCCGGAAGGUUAAUUGAUGGGGUUAGCGGCAACGCGAAGCUCUUGAUCGAAGCCCCGGUAAACGGCGGCCGUAACUAUAACGGUCCUAAGGUAGCGAAAUUCCUUGUCGGGUAAGUUCCGACCUGCACGAAUGGCGUAAUGAUGGCCAGGCUGUCUCCACCCGAGACUCAGUGAAAUUGAACUCGCUGUGAAGAUGCAGUGUACCCGCGGCAAGACGGAAAGACCCCGUGAACCUUUACUAUAGCUUGACACUGAACACUGGUCCUUGAUGUGUAGGAUAGGUGGGAGGCUUUGAAGCGUGGACGCCAGUCUGCGUGGAGCCGCCCUUGAAAUACCACCCUUUAAUGGCUGGUGUUCUAACGUAGACCCGUGAUCCGGGUUGCGGACAGUGUCUGGUGGGUAGUUUGACUGGGGCGGUCUCCUCCCAAAGAGUAACGGAGGAGCACGAAGGUUGGCUAAUCCUGGUCGGACAUCAGGAGGUUAGUGCAAUGGCAUAAGCCAGCUUGACUGCGAGCGUGACGGCGCGAGCAGGUGCGAAAGCAGGUCAUAGUGAUCCGGUGGUUCUGAAUGGAAGGGCCAUCGCUCAACGGAUAAAAGGUACUCCGGGGAUAACAGGCUGAUACCGCCCAAGAGUUCAUAUCGACGGCGGUGUUUGGCACCUCGAUGUCGGCUCAUCACAUCCUGGGGCUGAAGUAGGUCCCAAGGGUAUGGCUGUUCGCCAUUUAAAGUGGUACGCGAGCUGGGUUUAGAACGUCGUGAGACAGUUCGGUCCCUAUCUGCCGUGGGCGCUGGAGAAUUGAGGGGGGCUGCUCCUAGUACGAGAGGACCGGAGUGGACGCAUCACUGGUGUUCGGGUUGUCAUGCCAAUGGCACUGCCCGGUAGCUAAAUGCGGAAGAGAUAAGUGCUGAAAGCAUCUAAGCACGAAACUUGCCCCGAGAUGAGUUCUCCCUGAGACCUUGAGUCUCCUGAAGGAACGUUGAAGACGACGACGUUGAUAGGUCGGGUGUGUAAGCGCAGCGAUGCGUUGAGCUAACCGAUACUAAUGAACCGUGAGGCUUAACCUU